rnacentral:lncRNA from 1 species
AUGCCACAGGCUAUACGGCAUGGCCAAGAGAUCAAAAUGAAAGAAAGGAAGGAAGGAACAAAGAAAGAAAGAGAAAAACGACCUUGUGUAACUCUUUAUUUUCAGAGCAGCUUUAAGCCCACAGUAAAACUGAGAAUGACAUGGAGCAACAGACUGGUUCCAAAUAGGAAAAGGAGGACUUCAAGGCUGUAUACUGUCACCCUGCUAUUUAACUUAUAUGCAGAGUGCAUCAUGAGAAACGCUGGGCUGGAAGAAACACAGGCUGGAAUCAAGAUUGCUGGGAGAAAUAUCAAUAACCUCAGAUAUGCAGAUGACACCACCCUUAUGGCAGAAAGUGAAGAGGAACUAAAAAGCCCCUUGAUGAAAGUGAAAGAGGAGAGUGAAAAAGUUGGCUUAAAGCUCAACAUUCAGAAAACGAAGAUCAUGGCAUCUGGUCCCAUAACUUCAUGGGAAAUAGGUGGGGAAACAGUGGAAACAGUGUCAGACUUUAUUUUGGGGGGCUCCAAAAUCACUGCAGAUGGUGAUUGCAGCCAUGAAAUUAAAAGACACUUACUUCUUGGAAGAAAAGUUAUGACCAACCUAGAUAGCAUAUUCAAAAGCAGAGACAUUAUUUUGCCAACAAAGGUCCGUCUAGUCAAGGCUGUGGUUUGUCCAGUGGUCAUGUAUAGAUGUGAGAGUUGGGCUGUGAAGAAGGCUGGACGCCAAAGAAUUGAUGUUUUUGAACUGUGGUGUUGGAGAAGACUCUUGAGAGUCCCUUGGACUGCAAGGAGAUCCAACCAGUCCAUUCUGAAGGAGAUCAGCCCUGGGAUUUCUUUGGAAGGAAUGAUGCUAAAGCUGAAACUCCAGUACUUUUGCCACCUCAUGCGAAGAGUUGACUCAUUGGAAAAGACCCUGAUGCUGGGAGGGAUUCGAGGCAGGAGGAGAAGGGGACGACAGAGGAUGAGAUGGCUGGAUGGCAUCACUGACUCGAUGCACGUGAGUCUGCCUGAACUCCGGGAGUUGGUGAUGGACAUGACUGAACGACUGAGCUAA